GACGAACGCUGGCGGCGUGCUUAACACAUGCAAGUCGAACGGAAAGGCCCUGCUUUUGUGGGGUGCUCGAGUGGCGAACGGGUGAGUAACACGUGAGUAACCUGCCCUUGACUUUGGGAUAACUUCAGGAAACUGGGGCUAAUACCGGAUAGGAGCUCCCGCUGCAUGGUGGGGGCUGGAAAGUUUCGGCGGUUGGGGAUGGACUCGCGUCUUAUCAGCUUGUUGGUGGGGUAGUGGCUUACCAAGGCUUUGACGGGUAGCAGGCCUGAGAGGGUGACCGGCCACAUUGGGACUGAGAUACGGCCCAGACUCCUACGGGAGGCAGCAGUGGGGAAUAUUGCACAAUGGGCGGAAGCCUGAUGCAGCAACGCCGCGUGCGGGAUGACGGCCUUCGGGUUGUAAACCGCUUUCGCCUGUGACGAAGCGUGAGUGACGGUAAUGGGUAAAGAAGCACCGGCUAACUACGUG
rnacentral:rRNA from 1 species